rnacentral:misc_RNA from 1 species
GAAAUGCGAUAAGUAGUGUGAAUUGCAGAAUUCAGUGAAUCAUCGAAUCUUUGAACGCACAUUGCGCCCCUCGGCAUUCCGUGGGGCAUGCCUGUUCGAGCGUCAUCUACACCCUCAAGCUCUGCUUGGUGUUGGGCGUCUGUCCCGCCUCCGCGCGCGGACUCGCCCCAAAUGCAUUGGCAGCUGUUCCUUGCCCCCCUCUUUGCGCAGCACAUUGCCAUUCGAGGCGGCGGCGGCCCGCGUCCAACAAGCUCAACCCCCCCGUCUUUGACCUCGGAUCAGGUAGUGAUACCCGCUGAACUUAAGC